CCACGGGUGGCAGCAGUGAGGAAUAUUGGUCAAUGGUCGGGAGACUGAACCAGCCAAGCCGCGUGAGGGAUGAAGGUACAGAGGAUCGUAAACCUCUUUUGUCAGGGAACAAAGGCGGGGACGUGUCCCCGGAUGAGUGUACCUGAAGAAAAAGCAUCGGCUAACUCCGUCCCAUCAGCCGCGGUAAUACGGAGGAUGCGAGUGUUAUCCGGAUUUAUGGGGUUGAAAGGGUGCGCAGGCGGUCUGUUAAGUCAGCGGUCAAAGCCCGGGGCUCAACCCCGGCCCGCCGUUGAAACUGGCAGUCUCGAGUUGGAGAGAAGUAUGCGGAAUGCGCGGUGUAGCGGUGAAAUGCAUAGAUAUCGCGCAGAACUCCGAUUGCGAAGGCAGCAUGCCGGCUCCACACUGACGCUGAGGCACGAAAGCGUGGGUAUCGAACAGGAUUAGAUACCCUUGUAGUC
rnacentral:rRNA from 1 species